rfam:Gossypium arboreum cultivar AKA8401 contig_6074_1, whole genome shotgun sequence.
AAUAGAAUAGUGACAAAUCAAAUUUUUUCUCUUAAUUUUCAAUUUUUUCUUCUUGAAAAAUUUCAAAUCAAACUAAAAAUGCUAAAAAUCAGGAGAAAAAAUCGAAUUUGUCAUUCUCUUAUU